rnacentral:rRNA from 1 species
AUUGCCCUAGUAACGGCGAGUGAAGCGGCAACAGCUCAAAUUUGAAAUCUGGCCCUCGGGUCCGAGUUGUAAUUUGUAGAGGAUGCUUUUGGUGAGGUGCCUUCCGAGUUCCCUGGAACGGGACGCCAUAGAGGGUGAGAGCCCCGUCUGGUUGGACACCGAGCCUCUGUAAAGCUCCUUCGACGAGUCGAGUAGUUUGGGAAUGCUGCUCUAAAUGGGAGGUAUAUGUCUUCUAAAGCUAAAUACCGGCCAGAGACCGAUAGCGCACAAGUAGAGUGAUCGAAAGAUGAAAAGCACUUUGAAAAGAGAGUUAAAAAGUACGUGAAAUUGUUGAAAGGGAAGCGCUUAUGACCAGACUUGGGCUUGGUUGAUCAUCCUGGGUUCUCCCUGGUGCACUCUUCCAGUUCAGGCCAGCAUCAGUUCGCUGCGGGGGAUAAAAGCUUUAGGAAUGUGGCUCCCUCGGGAGUGUUAUAGCCUAUUGCAUAAUACCCUGCUCCGGACUGAGGUUCGCGCAUCUGCAAGGAUGCUGGCGUAAUGGUCAUCAGCGACCCGUCUUGAAACACGGACCAAGGAGUCGUCUUCGUAUGCGAGUGUUCGGGUGUUAAACCCCUACGCGUAAUGAAAGUGAACGCAGGUGAGAGCUUCGGCGCAUCAUCGACCGAUCCUGAUGUUCUCGGAUGGAUUUGAGUAAGAGCAUACGGGGCCGGACCCGAAAGAAGGUGAACUAUGCCUGUAUAGGGUGAAGCCAGAGGAAACUCUGGUGGAGGCUCGCAGCGGUUCUGACGUGCAAAUCGAUCGUCAAAUAUGGGCAUGGGGCGAAAGACUAAUCGAACCUUCUAGUAGCUGGUUUCCGCCGAAGUUUCCCUCAGGA